rnacentral:rRNA from 1 species
CAGUCGCCACGGGAAUACGAAGGGGGCUAGCGUUGUUCGGAAUUACUGGGCGUAAAGCGCACGUAGGCGGACAUUUAAGUCAGGGGUGAAAUCCCGGGGCUCAACCCCGGAACUGCCUUUGAUACUGGGUGUCUAGAGUAUGGAAGAGGUGAGUGGAAUUCCGAGUGCAGAGGUGAAAUUCGUAGAUAUUUGGAGGAACACCAGUGGCGAAGGCGGCUCACUGGUCCAUUACUGACGCUGAGGUGCGAAAGCGUGGGGAGCAAACAGGAUUAGAUACCCCAGUAGUCCCUGUCUCUUAUAA